UGCCGCUUGCAUAUGUAAAUAAGAUGGUAAUGAGCAAGGCACGUGGAGCUGGGGUCGCUUGCAGUGCGGUAACUGUGAGCGGGGAUUUAACUUUGGAUUGAUGGAGGUUUUUCCACAGCAAAUGCACCACGAACCGAAUCGCAAGGGUCCAGCUGUUAAUUCCGCCCUGUCGACCCUGCGAGUUAAACCGACGACCUUCUUAACCCACUGGGCCGGUCACACACCGUACGCGGGUCACAGGGCGGCCAUUUACUCCGCUGACCAGGACCGGCCGUCUUCAGCCAGGGCGUUUCAAAGACCGGGGAAUCCUGUGAUCUAACGUCAGCUACCCGUGGCGGCCAGACAGGCACCCCUUCCAAGGAGGGUAAACGGGGCGGCCGCCGCGCAUGCAGCUCGCUUGCCAGCGAAUCUCCGACCGCCGCGUGCAGCCGCCGAAACGCCCAGGAGCUGCGCGCACAUGUGACCGCCGAGUAUUUUAGCGCUGUUACGUAACUCCGGGCUGCUCCACAUACAGAUGAAUAGGGCCACACAUGACUGGAGCCCGCCACGGAUAUCAUCCAAAUAAAACUGCUCAGCCCCUGCACUGAGCUCUCGCUUUACUGCCGCGGCUUUGCAUUUAUUUAUUUUAUUUGUCAUAACCAAAAUAUACAGUCUGACUCUAACCCGCAGUCAAAUGAAAGGUGGUCGAUGCGUUUCAGGCUAUGCAGAAAUUUGUAUUACUAACUUAUUACUUUCAGCAGGAACUGAUACUUAGUAUUAGCAAUUUUAUCGGUUAAAACGAUUUAAACAGCCUAUUUAAUUUAGUAUGUCGGUUAUACCUUUAUUUGCUUAUUCAUAGAUCAGUAUGUAUUUAAAUAGUUGUCAGGGAGACUCUGGUGGAACAAAAGAAUAUCUCAUAGCAGGAUUUUUCACUCAAGGCUGUCAGAUAUAUUGGCUCACAGGUCUAUAUACUCAUGUCACUGUUUUCUCCAUUACAGUAAGCAUGACAUACCUAGAAAUUCUGGGCCCCCUGACAAAAUGUUACCGUUGGUUCCCUGUUAAAUUUUAUAUAUGAUGUUUCGUAUUUAAGGACACUCAUCGGGUGCUGGACCCCCAGAAUCUGCCAGGGUAUCCGUGCCCCUCCGCUGCCCCCUAGGGGUGCAUGCAGUCAGGGUGAUAGGGGUUAGGCCAUUAGAGGGUGACACAUAUACUGCCAGGCAGCCCUCCAUCCAGCAGGGGGAGCAAUCUCCAGGUGUGGGUCCCAUACGCCCGUGACUUUGGGUGACCCGGGUUGGGUUAAUAAACCCUUUGUUUAGAGCUGAUCCUAGUCUUCGAAAGUUUAAAAAGCCCUUGGCCCCCGGUCGGCCCCUUUCUCUGAAAUGGCCUUGGGGGUUUAUCGCGCCCUUCUGUGGCAUUUCUGGCAGGCACAUGCCAUUUCCUUUAAAGAAGAAACUGUUAAACAUUGUUAAGAACCUGCAGCCUUGGCUCUCUGCACUGAGACCUUGUGAUGUCUCCGCUUCCGCUGUUUAGCCAAAGCACCGGCUUUAAAUAUCACUUGUUAGCAUUUAAUUUCCUCUACGUUGCACACAAAGGAUAGUGUUUCUUGUGAGUUUCUUGUCAAUGAUUGGUAGGUAUUGUCUGAAAUUGACAUUCCGUGACAGUUUAUCUAGAAUGCUGUGCAGCGAUUGAAUGAGACAGGAGGGUAACGUCAUCUUUACAUCAGUGUGGGUGUAGUAGGGGGUGUGGGGUCUGCAGGACUUCCUGCCCCCAACCCCUGCCAUCCAAGACAAGCAUAGACUGCCCAAUAGGUCUGCAAGACGAAUCUUCACAGAGCCAAACAUGCACACCAUACACAGUAAACAUUAAGGCAGCUUCUUGGUAUUGUUGUCAUGUGCCAUAUGGUGUUAAAACUUCAUAAAGUUUAAUAUCACUUGGCUGCAUUUAUAUCUUGUUUAUAGCGAAUAAUAUUAUAAAGUCAACAGAGUUUGAAUGUUAGGCCAUGUGGGUUUAGUCAUUAUUGGAGCUGCGUUCGUCCAGCCGGAUAAAUGGACAAAGUGCAUCAGACUCUUGGCGUCAGCGGUGCUGCUUGAUGCAGAUUCUUUGUAAUCUCACCUGUAGCAGCUAUAAAAUUAAGUCUGGAGAUGUGAGUGCAUACAGCAGACAUAAAGAGCAGAGUCUCCCUUUCAUGUCGAGAGUCUGGCCACAUGCCGCUGUCAUCUGAGUUUCUCAAUAAAAUCGGAUCAGCUGCCUGGUCUGCGCUUAGGUCCACGGGUCGCCUGGGUGAUGGUAGACGUGCCUGAACAGGUCCUGCUUUUUCACACUUUAAAUGGACCUGCUGCCAGCAGAGGGAAAAUUGCACCAGUGCCGACACUGACACCGAGCAGGUCCCCAGACUGUAGGGGGCGCUCUAGAGUCGGGGGCCCAAGGUUUGUUUUGGCCAUUCCACACACGUGGGGGGGGGGGGGGGUGCUUUAAGAGACAUGUCGCUUUAUAAACAGAGUGGCAGAGGAAAUGCUUUAAAUGUCUGUAAAAACAGACCUUGUAAAUGAAUUCAGAAAAGCUUCUCUAGCAUCUGUUAAUGUCGGACGGCGGUUAAACGUAACCUGAAGACUUGUAACCUGACAGCUGCAGUUGGACCCUUGAGGGAGGUCUUUAAAAUGUCCAGCUGUGUGUGUUGGCGCAAACUGCAAUUCACUCUGGAUGCAAAUGUCCCCUAAGCAAAGAAAAUGUGAAUGUGUUCUUCCCUGAGAUAAUCGUCGGCGUGUCAGCGGGACGUGAAGGAGGAGACGCUCCGCAGGCUUUACCGUGACUUUACCGUGGUGAAGUAUAGCCACGCUUACACUGAGUGCUCAUGUAGGCAUAGCGGCGUAGCGACCGGCCAGCAGACUCACCCUGUUUGACAGGAAGGUCGUGAGCUCACUGAAGUUGCUCAUUCAUACGUGACACAAAAGACACUUGUGGAGAUGGUGUCGGAGAUAUUUAUGAGGAAAGAGGGGCUUGGUUAAAAUAACCCGCAGCAGACGGAUUUAGACGGUUAAACGCCGGGUGAAUAACCAGCAGUGACCGGACAGACUCAGAGGGGGAUUUAAAUAGCUCCCCCUGUCUGCGGGGGCAUGUUCUGUUUUUUUUUUUACAUGUGACAGCUUUUGCUAGUGUGAGGGACGUGUUGCUUGUGAUGCAGAAGCCUCUAGCUUUCCUGGAGAUGGGGGCCAUGUGGAGUGUUGGGGGGCUAUUCUGCGAUUAUCUGAUGCUCCGAUAUAGUAUCCCAGCUCGUGUAUAAACGUGUGUCAUGAUGGAAACAGCUUCUACGUCCCAGUUCUACUCUCCCAUAUUCAUGAAUUUCCUUUCGAUUCAUGUUAAUGGAUUUUAAUUCAUAAGCUAAGCACCAUCCCUAAUUUCAUUCUGCAAAACAUUAUCAGCAUUAAUUACACCUACGACAGAGGACCAAAAACGGCGGCUUUUAAAACCCUUUACGUAACGCUUUAAGAGUUCCUCCCACGUGCGCGGUCCGCUGCAGGCUGCACGUGUUCAUGUGCUUCACCUCCUGCCUUCAGACGUCUGCAGCUCCAGGCUGUGGCUCCUUCUAAUCGUGCCCUCAAGCUUGGGCGCUCCGAGGAGCAUCUGGUUCCGAAUCCUUCACCAGCCCCCCGCUAAUCUGACAGCUGUGUCCAACUCGCCGCGAACCCAGAGGAAGCCACGUUGCUGAUUCAUUGAGUUACGGAAAGUCGGAGAUGGCGCCUGAACACGCUGCCUCCGUAUGAUUCCAUACAUCGCUUCAUGGCAAACGGGGGCAGAGAAGGACUUGGUGGCCGUCUCCCAGAAUCCUUUGCAUCAUGUCCUCUGAAAGCAUCACAAUCUGUUUUUAACAUGCCCAGAUUUGUGCAUAAUCUCUGGCUGAUGAAAAUGGAUCCAUAUGUUGCUCUGGAUCCCGGAAAGAACCUCAUCGUUGGCACCGCAGACACGGUUUUAGGGACUUCUGCGAGAACGGAAGGUCAGCGUUUCUUGCUGUUCGUCUUAUGCUGGCUUCCUCAACCGAGAAACCCCUGAAGAGCAAAUGUGGACAUUUCUGGCACAGUGAACAUCCCCUUCUGACUGUUCCCAUAGCAGGACAGUGAGCUGGAGUCUCUCAUGCUCAUUCUCAAGGAAACAUUUUAGAAACCUCAAUGUACUUAGCAGAAGCCAUUUACCUUCUCAGGAAGCAGAGGACUGAAACCUCAUUGGCUCCAUGAUGAGCUGAUCCUGAUUGGCUGAGUGUCCCUCAGCAGGGCAUGUCUGGGACAGCAGUGAUGGACACGGGGAGCGGAUGGGGGUGUUUUAUUGGUCUCCGGUGAGCUACAUGUAAGGUGGGGCCCAAUAUGAUUUGCAGGCAGCCUGACUGCUCAGCUUCGCACUACAGGAGGGAGUGUGACCUUUCAGCUGAUGAUUCUCAGCAUCAGUGGAGUUAAGGUUAGUGGUUAGGGACCAAGGGUCAGGGUUAGUUUAUUCUUUGGAUAUUAUACAGUAUUUGUGUGUCAUUUGUACACAUACUUCCAGCAAACUUUAGUCACCGGAUUGAAAGCGGACAGCCUGUCAAACAGUGGGGAGCUCUCUGUAAGGAAAUCCCAGAAGGGUGACAAUCGAACCGCUUCCUCUGCGACAGGAGACAGCAGCUCUGUGUACUGCCGUCGGAGUCCAACUGAAUCAGCAGGAACUUAGUCAUCUGUGCUGCUUUGUGUCUGAGGUUCCCAAUACAGAGAACUAGGAAACUGAUGCUGACACAGCGAAUGCAGGGAAAGGUUGCGUGUGGAUUAUUCUGAAGAGGUUGUGACAGGAGAGAAGAGGCAGGGGGCCGCAGUCCCCCUGUGGGGUUGUGUAGGGUUAGGGGCAGAGCGCACGCUCGGCCAGCAACCCUGCUCUUAAUUACUCUUCAGGUAGAUCAGAGGCAGCAGCCUGUCGUCUCGGAGAGAGGAUUUGUUUGCUUGGGUCUAAACUCAGAAGAGCAAAGCAGCCAGGAGCAGAACUGGGUCACCAGUCUGCAGUCACCCUCCUGCCUAACAGGGAAUCAGGGUUAGGCCUGAUUUACUGGGGAUUAGGGUUAGGCCUGCCCUAAUGUGUUUAGGGUUAGGUGUGCCCUAACAGGGAAUUAGGGUUAGGCCUGAUUUACUGGGGAUUAGGGUUAGGGCUGCUUUACCGGGGAUUAGGGUUAGGCCUGAUUUACUGGGGAUUAGGGUUAGUCCUGCCCUAAUGUGUUUAGGGUUAGGUGUGCCCUAACAGAGAAUUAGGGUUAGGCCUGAUUUACUGGGGAUUAGGAUUAGGCCUGCUUUACCGGGGAUUAGGGUUAAUCCUGCUCUAACAGGGGAUUAGGGUUAAGCCUGCUCUAACAGGGGAUUAGGGUUAAGCCUGCUCUAACAGGGGAUUAGGGUUAGGCCUGCUUUACUGGUGAUUGGAACAGGGCGUGCGCCUGGCACCUUGCUGUUCUGCCUCUUGCAUCCCACAGACGGGAUCCGCCCAUAGAUCACGACCCAUACCAUGUGACUAAACCUGAGUUACGGAUGAUCUGGAAUGUCAGAACUAUUUUAGACCUAGCUAAGAUCAGAGCUUCUGUAAAUAAGCACAGAGUGGCCAGACACCUGCGAGCGAAUUGCGUGAAAAAACAGCUGUUACCCCCGACAUCCGCAUGGGAGCGAGUCGUAUUUCUGUGCCGUCAGAGAGGCGCUGCAGCUGGUGCAUGCUGGGAAGGAGCCUGUGAGCCUGGGCAGAGAGCCCUGACAUUUGGGGGCAUAGAGGUCAAACACCGGCCUCUACAUAUAAGAUAAAACCACGUGUGAAGUCGACACAAUGGGGAUGAAAAGGUUACCGCACUUCCUGUCACAAACGCCGGCAUGUGCCAGAGACCGACAAGUUCCCCAUGGAGCUCAGCCCCGCGGUGAAAGACGUUAUAUGCACCAUCAUACAGCCUGCACUGCAAAUACUGCCAAAUCAAACUGCUACAUCACCAGCAUACAAUCGCAUGUAACAUUGAGGAAUGUUUCUGGAACAUUGAGGUUAUUAUGAGA